rnacentral:rRNA from 1 species
GACGAACGCUGGCGGCGUGCCUAACACAUGCAAGUCGAACGGAAAGGCCCUGCUCUUGUGGCGUCCUCGUGUGCCGCGCACGGGUGAGUAACGUGUGGAACAUCUGCCUUACAUUGGGGGAACACCAGGGGAAACGGGCGCUAAUACCGUAUAAACUCUUGAAACACGGGGUUGAAUGGUGAAAGUCGGAGUUUCGGGAUGGAAUGGCGGCUUAUCAGCUUAUUGGUGGGGUGGUGACUUACAAAGUCUUCGAGGGGUAGCCGGCCUGGGAGGGUGACCGGGCCCAAUGGGACUGAGGUAGGGGCCAGACGCCUACGGGAGGCAGCAGUGGGAAAUAUUGCGCAAUAGGCGGCAGCCUGAUACAACGACGCCGCGUGCGGGAUGACGGCUUUUGGGUUAUAACCCGCUUUCGCCUGGAACGAAGAGUGAGUGACGGUAAUGAGUAAAAAAGCAACGGCUAACUACGUG